rfam:Daphnia magna strain Xinb3 scaffold00687, whole genome shotgun sequence.
GACUUAUGGCUCAGUGGUAGAGCAUCGGCAUGGUACGCCGAUAGAUAAGAGUUCAAAUCCUAAAAGAGUCG